CACGCCGUAAACGAUGAGAACUAGGUGUAGGGCCAAACCCUGUGCCGAAGCUAACGCAUUAAGUUCUCCGCCUGGGGAGUACGUUCGCAAGAAUGAAACUUAAAGGAAUUGACGGGGGCCCGCACAAGCAGUGGAGCAUGUGGUUUAAUUCGAUGCUACGCGAAGAACCUUACCAGGGCUUGACAUAGUGUCUAAGACUCUAGAGAUAGAGGGAUAAUAGGUACAUACAGGUGG
rnacentral:rRNA from 1 species